rnacentral:tRNA from 2 species
AGCUUUAUAGUCAAUAUAUGAUAUUAGACUGCAAUUCUAAAGUAGAGUUGUUACUCUAAAGCUU